GACGAACGCUGGCGGCGUGCCUAAUACAUGCAAGUAGAACGCUGAAGGAGGAGCUUGCUUCUCCGGAUGAGUUGCGAACGGGUGAGUAACGCGUAGGUAACCUGCCUGGUAGCGGGGGAUAACUAUUGGAAACGAUAGCUAAUACCGCAUAACAGUAGAUAUCGCAUGAUAUCUGCUUGAAAGGUGCAAUUGCAUCACUACCAGAUGGACCUGCGUUGUAUUAGCUAGUUGGUGAGGGAACGGCUCACCAAGGCGACGAUACAUAGCCGACCUGAGAGGGGGAUCGGCCACACUGGGACUGAGACACGGCCCAGACUCCUACGGGAGGCAGCAGUAGGGAAUCUUCGGCAAUGGACGGAAGUCUGACCGAGCAACGCCGCGUGAGUGAAGAAGGUUUUCGGAUCGUAAAGCUCUGUUGUAAGAGAAGAACGAGUGUGAGAGUGGAAAGUUCACACUGUGACGGUAUCUUAACAGAAAGGGACGGCUAACUACGUG
rnacentral:rRNA from 1 species